UUGAACAUGGUUUAUUAGGA
rnacentral:siRNA from 1 species